AUUUAUAUAGUUUAAUUAAAACGGUAUAUUUUCAUUAUACAAAUAAUAUGAUUGUUUAUAAAUA
rnacentral:tRNA from 1 species